UCAGUGGCGAACGGGUGAGUAACACGUGAGCAACCUGCCCCUGACUCUGGGAUAACGACCGGAAACGGUCGCUAAUACCGGAUACGAGACGUACAGGCAUCUGUAACGUCUGGAAAGUUUUUCGGUCAGGGAUGGGCUCGCGGCCUAUCAGCUUGUUGGUGGGGUAAAGGCCUACCAAGGCGACGACGGGUAGCCGGCCUGAGAGGGCGACCGGCCACACUGGGACUGAGACACGGCCCAGACUCCUACGGGAGGCAGCAGUGGGGAAUAUUGCACAAUGGGCGAAAGCCUGAUGCAGCGACGCCGCGUGAGGGAUGACGGCCUUCGGGUUGUAAACCUCUUUCAGCAGGGAAGAAGCGCAAGUGACGGUACCUGCAGAAGAAGCGCCGGCUAACUACGUGCCAGCAGCCGCGGUAAUACGUAGGGCGCAAGCGUUGUCCGGAAUUAUUGGGCGUAAAGAGCUCGUAGGCGGUUUGUCGCGUCUGCUGUGAAAACCUCAGGCUCAACCUGGGGCUUGCAGUGGGUACGGGCAGACUAGAGUGCGGUAGGGGUGACUGGAAUUCCUGGUGUAGCGGUGGAAUGCGCAGAUAUCAGGAGGAACACCGAUGGCGAAGGCAGGUCACUGGGCCGCAACUGACGCU
rnacentral:rRNA from 1 species